CCACCACCGCCGGCGGCAGCAGCAGCCAUUUCAUCUCCGCAGAAACCAGACACAAAAACAUGGCAGAAAUGGAGAAAGAGGGAAGACCUCCGGAAAAUAAGAGGAGCAGGAAACCAGCUCACCCAGUGAAAAGGGAGAUCAAUGAGGAAAUGAAGAACUUUGCAGAAAACACCAUGAAUGAACUCCUUGGCUGGUAUGGCUAUGAUAAGGUUGAACUGAAAGAUGGAGAAGAUAUUGAAUUCAGGAGCUACCUUACAGAUGGGGAGAGCCGGCAACACAUUUCUGUUCUCAAAGAAAAUUCCUUGCCCAAACCCAGACUACCGGAGGACAGUGUUAUUUCACCGUACAAUAUAAGCACAGGCUAUUCAGGGCUUGCCACAGGAAACGGACUUGGUGACUCACCUGCAGGGUCAAAGGAUCAUGGCAGUGUACCCAUUAUUGUACCUUUAAUCCCACCACCUUUCAUAAAGCCACCAGCAGAAGAUGAUGUGUCAAAUGUACAAAUAAUGUGUGCCUGGUGCCAGAAAGUGGGAAUCAAGCGCUAUUCCCUGAGCAUGGGCAGCGACGUGAAAAGCUUCUGCAGCGAGAAGUGCUUCGCGGCCUGCCGACGCGCCUACUUCAAGAGGAACAAGGCUAGAGAUGAAGAUGGACAUGCUGAAAAAUUUCCCCAGCAGCACUAUGCUAAGGAAACUCCAAGGCUUGCCUUCAAGAAUAACUGCGAACUACUUGUAUGUGACUGGUGUAAGCACAUAAGACACACGAAAGAAUACCUGGACUUUGGGGACGGGGAACGAAGGCUUCAGUUCUGCAGCGCCAAAUGCCUCAAUCAGUACAAAAUGGACAUUUUCUACAAAGAGACCCAGGCCAACCUGCCAGCCGGGCUGUGCGGCACACUACACCCUCCCCUGGAAAAUAAAGCAGAAGGCCCCGGGGUGCAGCUGCUCACUCCAGACUCUUGGAAUAUCCCGCUAACAGAUGCUCGGAGGAAGGCCCCCUCCCCGGUGGCUGCAGCUGGCCAAAGCCAGGGCCCUGGCCCAGCCACGUCCACCACCGUCUCUCCAUCCGACACUGCCAACUGCUCCGUCACCAAAAUCCCCACGCCGGUGCCCAAGGCCGUCCCCAUCGGCGAGAGCCCAAGCCUCCCUCCGGUCUCUGUGCAGCCCCCAGCGAGCAUCGGGCCCCCCCUCGGCGUCCCGCCGCGCAGCCCGCCCAUGGUGAUGACCAACCGCGGGCCCGUCCCGCUGCCCAUCUUCAUGGAACAGCAGAUCAUGCAGCAGAUCCGCCCGCCCUUCAUCCGCGGGCCGCCGCACCACGCCUCCAGCCCCAACAGCCCGCUGCCCAACGCCAUGCUCCCUGGCCUCGGGCCCCCGCCCGGCGGGCCCCGGAACAUGGGCCCCACGUCCAGCCCCAUGCACCGGCCGCUGCUGUCUCCCCAUAUUCACCCCCCGAGCACGCCCACCAUGCCCGGGAACCCCCCGGGCCUGCUGCCCCCGCCGCCCCCGGGCGCCCCCCUGCCCAGCCUCCCCUUCCCUCCGGUGAGCAUGAUGCCAAAUGGCCCCCCGAUGCCCGUGCCCCAGAUGAUGAACUUCGGGCUGCCGUCGCUCGCCCCGCUGGUGCCGCCGCCCACCCUGCUUGUGCCAUACCCGGUCAUCGUGCCCUUGCCCGUGCCCAUCCCCAUCCCCAUCCCCAUCCCCCACGUCAAUGAUUCCAAGCCCCCCAACGGAUUCUCCAGCAAUGGCGAGAGCUUCAUUCCCAGCGGUCCCAGCGACUCGUCGGCGGCGGGAGGGAAGCCGGGCGGACACUCGCUGUCCCCCCGGAACUCUAAGCAGGGCUCCUCCAAGUCCGCGGACUCGUCGCCGGGCAGCUCGGGCCAGGCCCUGAGCCUGGCGCCCGCGGGCGCCGAGCUGGGUCGCGGCGAGGUGGUGGACCUGACGCGGCGCGCCCUAAGUCCUCAGGGCGCGGGCGGCCCGCUCGGCUUCCCGGGUGUGCUGCAGGGCCCGCAGGACGGCGUCAUCGACCUGACGGUGGGCCACCGCGCCCGGCUGCACAACGUGAUCCACCGCGCGCUGCACGCGCAGGUCAAGGCGGAGCGCGAGCAGGGCGCUGCCGAGCGCAGGACCUGCGGCGGCUGCAGGGACGGCCACUGCAGCCCGCCCGCCGCCGGCGACCCAGGCCCCGGCGCCCCCGCGGGCCCCGAGCCCGCCGCCGCCUGCAAUGUCAUUGUGAACGGCACGCGGGGCGCGACCGCCGAGGGCGCCAAGGGCGCGGAGCAGCCGCCCGAGCAGCCCCCGCCGCCGCCUGCGCCCCCCAAGAAGCUCCUGUCCCAGGAGGAGCCAGCGGUGAGCGAGCUGGAGUCGGUCAAGGAGAACAACUGUGCUUCCAACUGCCACCUGGACGGGGAGGUGGCCAAAAAGCUGAUAGGGGAGGAGGCCCUGGCGGGGGGCGACAAGUCAGACCCGAACCUUAAUAACCCCGCGGACGAGGACCACGCGUACGCUCUGCGGAUGCUGCCCAAGACUGGCUGCGUGAUCCAGCCUGUGCCAAAACCCGCCGAGAAGACGGCCCUGGCGCCGUGCAUCAUCUCCUCGCCCAUGCUCAGCGCCGGGCCCGAGGACUUGGAGCCGCCGCUCAAAAGGAGGUGCCUCCGAAUUAGAAAUCAGAAUAAGUAAAAGGUUUGUAUGUCCACCGGGGCCCUCGUCUCCUCGAGUCUCCCAAGGGCGUUAUAUCGGUCAUCAUGACACCAGCUAUGUUUCGCAGUAGGUCGUGGUGUGUCCCCUCUUUGGUCCGACGUCUGUGACGCUGAACGAUUGUUAGGUAGCAUCUGUCCCAUGUUACAGUGGAGGAAGCAGUCACGGCCUGUGUGCGCCUCACCCAGGGUCACUCACUCACUGGUAAGCCCAUUCUUGAGCCUGGCUUAAAACACCAGUUCCUCGAUGACAUCUCUUCUUGUUGUUGCCCCUGCUCCGGUCUUCUGUGUCUAAUUCACCCUGGCUAGGAAGAUGGCAGAUGUGGGGACGAAGGUGCCAUCCCCCGGGGCAAGGCGAGCUCAGCCUCGAGGUUGCAGGGCUGUGCGCAAAGUUUCCACUACGCCAUCAACUGGGCCACUUUCCAGAACGGCCACCUGGCCCACCAAAUGUCCUAACUCACUCAAUCUUCUCUAUGAUCCAGAGAGCCCAUUUGGAAGAUGAGAAGAAAAACUAACCUUGUAUGCUUAGGCCAACAGAACCCAGACCACUAAGGCCCGCUUGCUUAGCCAGAUGUUGGAGCAAUGGUUCUGCAGCCCCCUCCCACCUCUCUCCCCGCCCCCACCGCACUUGAGCUCUCUGCCCUCAGCCCUCAGCCACCAACUCCCAUUCCCCAGGGCAGGCCCAUGUCUCACUGACCAGCAUUCCUUUGCCCCCUUCUUGGCCUGAACAGCUUAGUGGACUGCUGAUAACCUUGCAGACAGGGAGGGGGCUUUGACAGGGGAAAGGGCUGCCUGGCUGAACUGGGUAACCUCAUGGUGGGGUUCCUUCUGAUUCCAUAAUUCCGGUGAAGGGCAGGGAAACCAGCGUGUUUGGCAUGAGGUGUGACCUCAUUUGGGCCUCCUGCGAAUCCUAUCGGAUCAGGCAGCAUCUGCCUCUAACAAACAGGAAGAUGAGACUUAGAAAUAUUGACCAAACCAGAACUGGUAAGUGGGGGAACCUCUGUUUCACUCAGGCCAGUCAGAUACAGAGUUCAAGCUGUCUCAUCUAUCCCGAUGAGCAGCCAACAUCUCUUGGGCAGUUGAGUUCAUCUGCGGUUUACAGAAAGGAAAAUACUCCAGACAACCAUGUCUCCAUCCUAGGAGGAAGAAGGUCUGGGAUAUAUAGGAAGUGAACCUUUGUUAAUACUUGUAUAUGCAAGCCCUCUUCCACAUGGUUUUUAGUAGCAUCUGUUUUGAUCACUGCAAACAGUAGUGUCUUUGUGGUACAGAUAGGAAACUGAGGUACAGAGAGACAAAGGCACAUGCCCCAGAUCACCAAGUUAGUACGUAGGGAGGUCAUGAUUCCAACCCAGGCUGUCUGACCCCAGAAGUACAUGUCGUUUAUCAACCAUUAUAGAUGACUAGACUAAGGCAUUCAUCUCUUUCUUGUCCUACUUGAAGAAGUUCUUUCAUCGUCCUCAGUUGUCUGGAAGGAAAGUCCCUAGGGACAAUUAAGUGAGCCGGCAAACUUCCCUAAGUUUGCAGACAAUGUUCAAUUCUUGGUUUUCCAGUAGCAGCGUCAACAAGCCUAGGAUCCCAAUCCAUUGCUCCACAGGGGGAUGUGUAAUUGUGGACUGAAAUGGCUGAUCUCAUGUGUCCAGCCCAUUGACUCUUAUGUCAGCAUCUUUGCACGGGCAGCUAACCUAGAGGCUUUUCUUGGGAAGCACAGAACCAGAGCUUGAGGUUGUUGGGUGGUAUAAAAGGUUACUUGGCCACCGUAGUUUGAGGUUUCCCUUUUCCACUGAGCCUGGGUGUGUCCUGGGUUACACAUUGGGCCACCAGCCACAAGGUCAGCAGUUCGAAUCCCCCCAGUUGCUCUGUGGGAGGAAGAUGGGGUUUUCUGCUCUAGUACAGGUUUAGUUUCAGAAGCCCCGAGGGCAGUUGUGCUCUGUCCACCAGGGUUGCUUGGAGCUGAGAUGGACUCAAGGGCAGGGGUUUGUGAUUCUCCGCUGAGAUUUUCCCAGUCAGAAUAAAAUAUUAAAAAUUG